CUUUUACCAUAAACUGAAAAAAUGAAAACAUUGGUUGAAAAUUAGCAGCAUAGCUGCUUUGUACUAGCAUGUGCGUUACUGCUGUCUGGCCAAGUGUAUAUCUUACACAGAGAAAAUAAAUUAACUACAGUUUAUACUAAACUUUUUAAAAAACCAUUAUAUAUAUUUUCUUUUUACAGAUUCUUUUUGGGGCCAAAAAGUCAGGUUUUUUUAUACACCUGAAGUAUACACAUGAUGAUGCCAGGCUGCUGGGAGAGUGAAUUUAACCAUCCAUGUAUCAGCAUAGUUUGAUUCAUUUUGAGGGUGAAGGUGGAUGUAAAACUCCGACAUUGUACAAAGCAAAUUCCACCUGAAUAAAACCUAAAAAUGAAGGCUAACGAUUACCUAAAAACAUAUAAUGUGAGCUAAUCUGGUGAACAGAAGCAUUGGGAUGAUGUGACAAGGCAAAGACUCUUGUCAAACAGAAUGUAAGGCAUCCGUUUGGCCAGAAUAUAUGAGAUUAGAUACUUGACUAUAGUUGGGGGGAAAUAAAUGCUUUGAAGGGUCUCUGUCAAUGUGGCUGUCUCAUUCUGUACCCAUCUCAGGUUUUUCUUGUACCUCUUUUACCUACAAGGUGCAUUGGAAAAACAGACACAAUACUUUGUCUACAUUUCAUGCACACAGUAAUGCACAGUAUUCAUGCACAUUUCUAGUCACCUGGGCCUUGUUCUGCUUGCCAUUGUCUAGAUGGCCUCUUACAAAAUAUAGCAACAGAAAACAGUCACACAAUUCCAAAAGGGCUAUUCACUACAGUGAGAAUAAUCAGGAAUUCAGUAGCUUUCAAAUUUAUCGGGACACUCGUGUGAAAUUGGUGUCCUAUUUUUUCAUUUUGGAAAAACUGCAGAUUUUAAUAGAAAUUUACGCUUUUAUAAAUUAUACUGGUUACACCCCCUGGCUUUUUAAGCAGACAACAGGUAUUAUUACUUCCUGGUUUGGCUAGCUUAUUUGGACUGAACUCAAAAGGCAGCAAUUGCUCAGAGCAGCUGUCUUGCAAAUACUUCUCAUUGAGAUGCAUUAGGAAGGCUGUGAUUUGACAGCGACAAAGUCUGGGCUGGGUUAGAAGAGGAGGGCGUGCAGGCAGGAGAACUGUAGGUUUUGCAAGCUUAUUUUAGAUAUAUCCCCAAUGAAAAUGCAUAAUUAAAUGCAUGUCCCUUUAAGGCCAAAAUAGCUGAAAUGGAAAAAAUAUCCAAGUCUACAAUUCCCUCCAGUUUGGCUAUUUUGGCCUAAAUUUGAAGCUCACUUUGAAUACCCGACAAUUCUCACUCCAUUAAUAACUCUUCAAAUAUCAAACACACAACCAGUAUUCGCUACACAGUCAAAAUGCAUUAACAUACAAAGACUGGAUUCCUUGCCUUUGUUAUUAUAUUUGAUAUGGUAAAAAACACUUUGGCCUUGAUUUAGUGAUUUUUCCAACUGAUGAAUUACUGUUAGAAUGAUCUAUCUACAAAAAAAAAUGCCAUAGGUUUUAAUGGUGACUUCUGCAAAUAAAAAAAAACCACUUUCCAAAUGAUUUAACAGUACCGAGUCAUUUGGAAUGCUUAUUAAAUCAAGGCCUCUAUUGUUUAAAAUCUGUGUUUUACUUUAACACAAUAGUUUAUCUUAGGGUACUCUAUAGCACAAUACUGUAGGUUAUGCUUAAGUUGGAACUUCUGCUCCAAGCACAUUCUGGUGGUUAUGGUACCAGACGGUCUCACAUUGAAAAUAGCCACACCAUUUUAUAAAUUUUUUUGGGUCCGCCAGGUCUCGUAACCCACUUCCACCAAUUCCAUGAGCAAGCUGAAAGCUUCCAGUAGCUCUUCUGAGCCAAGCCUUGCAAUACAGGGAUAGCCCAUUAACUAAUAGGGUCAAUUCAGACAGAAAGCUUCCAGCAGUGUCGGACAAAGUGGAGGGGGCCAGACGGUUUGCUUACAAUGGGGAAG